rnacentral:rRNA from 1 species
GUUUCAGGCCUGAAGUCAAGCAA